CAAUCGAUUUGGAAUCUGACCUUUCUUUCUCUUUUGAGGUGAGGUUAUGAAGGAGGAGGACAGGCAGAAAAGUGAAGAAGAAGAAGUGUAUUUACAUUAUCCCUCUACCUAUUCAGAGAUAUAGGCCCUAAUUUAGCAAGGCACUGAUGCACCUGCCUCACCUGAAGCAUGUGAAUAGUCCCAUUACCUUCAGUGGUACGACCCAUGUACUUAAAGUGACUCCAGUUUUACAUCAGUCUGAGUGAGAGGAGAAUUUAGCUGCUGUCCAUUCAGAGUAUAUCUUCAAAAUUGUUGGUGCUGAG